rnacentral:rRNA from 1 species
UGAGGAAUAUUGGUCAAUGGGCGCGAGCCUGAACCAGCCAAGUAGCGUGAAGGAUGACUGCCCUAUGGGUUGUAAACUUCUUUUAUAGGGGAAUAAAGUUGGCAACGCGUGGCCUUUUGCAUGUACCUUAUGAAAAAGGAUCGGCUAACUCCGUGCCAGCAGCCGCGGUAAUACGGAGGAUCCGAGCGUUAUCCGGAUUUAUUGGGUUUAAAGGGAGCGUAGGCGGGAGGUUAAGUCAGUUGUGAAAGUUUGCGGCUCAACCGUAAAAUCGCAGUUGAUACUGUCCUCCUUGAGUGCGGUACGGGCAGGCGGAAUUCGUGGUGUAGCGGUGAAAUGCUUAGAUAUCACGAAGAACUCCGAUCGCGAAGGCAGCUUGCCGGGCCGUAACUGACGCUGAUGCUCGAAAGUGCGGGUAUCAAACAGG